rnacentral:rRNA from 1 species
UACGAAGGGGGCUAGCGUUGCUCGGAAUCACUGGGCUUAAAGCGCACGUAGGCGGACUCUUAAGUCGGUGGUGAAAUCCUGGAGCUCAACUCCAGAACUGCCUUCGAUACUGGGAGUCUCGAGUCCGGGAGAGGUGAGUGGAACUGCGAGUGUAGAGGUGAAAUUCGUAGAUAUUCGCAAGAACACCAGUGGCGAAGGCGGCUCACUGGCCCGGUACUGACGCUGAGGUGCGAAAGCGUGGGGAGCAAACAGG